rnacentral:lncRNA from 1 species
UGGGUAGCCCUGCCAAGCCUCACCCAACCCCGGGUGUGGAGUACGAAAAACUCUAGGAGCCCCUAUCCUACAACCCUAAUACUAGACCUCCAGACUUUCCUAUCAAGGGUCAUGUCCUCGAAAAUCCGCAUUAAAAAGUUUAUUAUGAGAUUUAAAAUCAAGAAAUAUAAUUCCUACGGCCUCUUCAAGUCAAUACUCAUACCCCAUUGCUAAGAAUACAUAGUAACAUAGUUCUACUGUCAAAACAUUAAAAGUUUUGACUUUUGACUCACUUUGCUACUUCUUGGCCCAUUUGUCUGUCAUAUUUGACGUUUCGAAUGCCAGUUUAAGAAAAUUCAACAUAAAAAUAGGAGCAUAGAUAAGUCAUCUUCUGGAAGUAGAAUAUGUAUUUCUACACUGCACAAGAACAUACAAGAAUAGAAAAAAGCCGGCUAGCAC